GAGGAGCCUGCGUACGAUUAGCUUGUUGGUGGGGUAACUGCCUACCAAGGCGACGAUCGUUAGCUGGUCUGAGAGGAUGAUCAGCCACAUUGGGACUGAGACACGGCCCAAACUCCUACGGGAGGCAGCAGUGGGGAAUAUUGGACAAUGGGCGAAAGCCUGAUCCAGCAAUGCCGCGUGUGUGAAGAAGGUCUUCGGAUUGUAAAGCACUUUCGACGGGGACGAUGAUGACGGUACCCGUAGAAGAAGCCCCGGCUAACUUCGUGCCAGCAGCCGCGGUAAUACGAAGGGGGCUAGCGUUGCUCGGAAUGACUGGGCGUAAAGGGCGCGUAGGCGGAUGUCUUAGUUAGGUGUGAAAUUCCUGGGCUUAACCUGGGGACUGCACUUAAUACAGGGCGUCUAGAGUGGGAUAGAGGGUUGUGGAAUUCCCAGUGUAGAGGUGAAAUUCGUAGAUAUUGGGAAGAACACCGGUGGCGAAGGCGGCAACCUGGAUCUUUACUGACGCUGAGGCGCGAAAGCGUGGGGAGCAAACAGGAUUAGAUACCCUGGUAGUCCACGCUGUAAACGAUGUGUGCUGGAUGUUGGGCAACUUAGUUGCUCAGUGUCGUAGCUAACGCGAUAAGCACACCGCCCUGGGGAGUACGGCCGCAAG
rnacentral:rRNA from 1 species